UGGCGCCAUUUUUGUUCUAAAAUCGAAAAAGUUUUGUUUUUCCAACUUUUGUGAUAAUUCUAAGCGAUUUGAGGAAAAUGAGCUAAGGCAAGGGGAUCCUGCGAAAGAUAAUUUGUAGAGUGGGAGUCGAAACGUGUAUACCUCUAAAGAUGGAUGAAACUGCUAAUGUUGAGGAGUCUGACAUACCUCAAAAGGACACUUCCCAGCGGAGCAUAACAGACUUUUUUACAUCCCCAAAGCAGAAGACACAAAAGCCAAAGUCAAGUACAAUUGAUGGAUACUUCACUUCAUUGUCAAAGAAAAAAUUGAGUACUGGGGAUGAUCUGGAAACUAAAGGCCAACAAAAUCAGAGUGAAAAGGGGAAAAGUGAAACAUUGAAUAACAAAUCUCUGAAAAAGAAAAUAGAAGGACAAGAUGGUAUAACAACUGAAAGUGUUGUAAAAAAGAGUAAAACAAACUCAGAUAAGAAGCCAAAUAAAAGUAAAAAGGAUAAAACUGACCAAGAUGAUGCCACUAUCAAGAAAGAGGGUAUUGAUAUCAAGAAAGAUGAUACCAAAACUAAGAAGGUUAAAGGGAAGGCAAACAAGUUGUCAACAAAACAAAAAAGGAAAGAUGAUAUCAAUGAGGAGAAACCAGUUAACAAUCACUUGACUGAUGACUCCAAGGCUGAUGACAACACAAAUAUCGAUAAAACCUUAGUAAAUAAAUCCAAUGAUCUAGAUUUAACACAUGAUAAAAGUAUGAUUGAAAUUAUUGAUAUUCCAGAUGUACUUGAAGAUGAUAGUAUUAAGAAAAAUGACAUAACAAAUAAUUGUAGUACUGAUGUUGGAGAUACAUCCAUGGAAAUGAGUUAUGAGGAGUUUCUAAAGACUCCAACCAGAAAACCAAAAAAUAAAAAGACUUUGGAAAAGACUGAACCUAGUGCUGAUAAUGAUUGCAGAAUGUUUGAAGAAAAGACUGGAUCAGGUGACCAAAACUCGAAAAAUUUCAAAAAUGUAAAAACUGAAACAGGUUUCCGUUUGAAAUCUGAUACACAGUUAAACCUAGGGAAUGCUAACCUCAAGGAUCCAUUAAAUUAUGGGGAGAGUGAUCUUGAUCCCGAUUUGAUAAGAUUAAUAGAAAAAGAUGAUCAUAAAACUCCAAGCAUUAAGAACUUCUUUAAAAAGGUCUCACAGAAACCAACUGAGAAAGUAGAAUCUCGAAGUGGAACUCCCAAUACAGUCACUACCAAAGCGGUUGUCCAUACUUCACCAACAAACUCUCCAGAAUCACGUCCCCAAUCCCGAAUGAGUUUGGAUCGUCCUCUCAGCCCAGAAUCAGUCCAUUCAAAUGUCUCAGUCGGGAGAAGCAAAAUAGACUUGAGUAUCACCCAGCUCGGGUCUGAGAUAAUUAACGCUGCUAAUGUAAAAGAUGAGGAAACAAGCCCAUCGGGAAAGAAAUUGAUUGAAAAUAUGGAUGAUUACAAUGAGGAGGAACUAUCAUGUGAUGAUCAAGUCCGUUUAUUUAACAAUAAAUUCAAUGGGGAAAACACUGAAGAUGUCAAACCGAAGAAAUUAUCUGACUUUUUCACAUGCGGAAUAAAUAAAGAUGUGAAACCAAAAGUAGAGGAAAUUGAGAAAGUGACAGCACCAAGUAAAACUAAGCAAGCAACAUUAGGAUUCAGAAAAGAUGGUGGAUUUGAAGUAAAGAAAGCAGAAACAACAAAACUGAAAAAGAAAACUGACAAUUCAGACAGAUCUGAAAAGGAUACUAUAGAAAAUAAACCAAAGAAAAGAGGAAGGCCAAAGAAAAUCAAAGAAGAAAACUCAGGUAGUGAAGUGUCCAAAAGUAAAGAAAAUAUUGAGACUGAAAAACCUCAAAUAUCAGGCAAACGGAAAUCAAAACGGAUACUUGAGAAGGAAAGUGAAAGUAGCCAAGAAAGGAGUGACAUUGAGGAGUUCAGUACACUAUCUAAGAGUAAAAAGAGACGGAAAACAUACAAGAUGUGUUACAUAGAUGACCCCAACAGGACACCUCUUAGAGUGAGAAUUUCCAGGCUUAACAAGAGCUCGUCUCAAGAUGAGGCUGAUGCUAAACCAGUACAACAAACCAGUCAACAAAAGAAAGCUAACAAACUGCUACAGAAGGCAAAGUCAAGCAAGCAGAGCAAGUUAAAAGUGAAGCACACAUCAAAAAAUAAGAAGACUAAGGUGGAGAAAGAGGGAAAAUCAUCUAAAUCUCAAAGAAAAUCUGUAAAAACUGACAUACCUCCUAAUGUUCCACGAACUCCAAAACACAAGAAAGCUAAUCCCAAUUCUAGUACACCCAAGAGCUCUUCCAAGAUGACAGCCAAAAGAUCUACCCCUGCAAAGAAAGGAGUCAAGCUAGCUUCUAUAUUUUUGAAGAAGCCAAAAACUUCCCCAACGACAAAUGAACUUCUCCAAAUAGUUGACCCAGAAGUUGUGAAAGAGCGUCAAGCAUUUCUGUUGAGUGGGGUGCCCGAGGAAAUCAAGAAACAGCAAACAAGCAGUACUGUAAUAUCCACCACAGAGUUCCAGGCUUUUUCGAUGGUUGACCAUAUUCAACAACGUCCCCUAGAAGGAGACUCAUUAUGGGAUCUUUCAAGUCCAAGGCUUAAUCUUAAAGCUGUCGAAGAUACUAAAAUCCAACCUAGUAAGACUCUCACCAAGGGGCAUGUCAGCCUAUCAUGUUGCGAUGAUAAUAGAGAUUGCAGAGUUAACAUUAACUUUUGUGAACACCCGGCUAUAUCAGACAGUACCAGAGAUGUGCUUUUAAGUGAAAUAAAGCGUAGACAACCAGACUUACCUGUUAAACGACUUUACAAACUUUUCACUAGUAGAUACAAGCAGAAUGAGGACUUUGGGAAUUGCAACAACACGGAGGAUGCUUAUGAUGCAAAACCUGGUGAAAAGAGAAAGUUAAAAGAAGACCAGCCAAUCACAAAUAAACGCAAGAAACUUUCCACGUCAAAGAAAAAGUCAGGACAGGGAGAAGAAGCUCUUCCAAGGAGAAGCAGUAGACGCAGUCUCAACAAUAUGGAUUCUGAGGUGGUUCCCACUAAAGAGAAAGAUCCUGAGAAGGCCACACAAGACAAAUAUGCUGUGAGCGAUGCAGAAAAUACAAUAAAAGGUGUAACAAAGGAACCAAGUCCAGAAGAACUGAGUAAGAGGACCAUGCAUUGGACAGAGAAGUAUCAACCCAGUAAGGCAACUGAGAUCAUUGGCCAGCAACACAAUGUAAAGAAACUGAGUCGAUGGCUCCAAGAGUGGAAAGAACGGACUAACAAGGAGGCAAAGAAAUUGAAGAUUCAACUAUUGAAGGAAGCGAAAAAAGCAGGGAAGAACAAGGAACAAAUUAAAGCCGAGGCUGGAGACGCUUGGGACGAUGACUCAGACUUUGACAUAGAUGCCAGCUACAGCGAGGGAAGUGAUGGGGAAGAAGAGGAAGAUGAUGGCCUCUGUAACACUACAGUCAUCUGUGGACCACAUGGCAUUGGAAAGACAUCAGUUGUGUAUGCAUUGGCACAGGAUCUUGGAUACAAGGUGUUUGAAGUGAAUGCAUCAUCAUGUCGUAACGGAAAACGUGUGAUGUCACAACUACAGGAGGCGACACAAUCCCACCAGGUCUCAAAGAAUCAUCUUGAGAAAAGUUUCAGUUUCAACAGUACCAGCGGAAAAUCAAACUCACAAGAUACCUCCACAAAGGCAGCGCCCCCUGCUGCAGGGACACAAUCAGUGGCCAACUUCUUCACCAAGAAAAUACCCAGUAUUAACACUGAAAAAGCACCACCAAAGAAAAGAGGAAGGAAACCCAAAGAAGAGAGCCCAGUGAAACAAAAGAAGGAGAAAUCACAUAAGAAGUCCAGUGUUGGAGGAGGACUGACUAACAAGCAGGGUCCAACAUCUCUAAAAGGCCUUAAUCUGUCAAGUGUUUCUUUGAUUCUCUUUGAGGAGGUUGAUGUAGUGCUGGAGGAAGACAAAGGAUUCCUAGCUGCAGUCCAGCAGUUCAUCGUUGGAACAAAGAGACCAAUCAUCAUGACUACUAGCGACCCCUAUUUUAGCAGCAAGCUCGACAGACGAUUUGAGGAGUUGAAAUUCAGACAGCCUUCUUUUAAUUUAGUCGCCAGUUACUUGCAAACAUUGAGCUUAGCGGAAAAUUUCCUCGUCGAUAAUGAUGCGCUAUGUUCGCUAGUGGAAUUAAACAGAGGUGAUAUCCGGAAAAGUAUACUCGCUACUCAGUUUUGGGCUGAAUCAGGGGGUGCUCUUACAGACAAUACACAGCCAUAUGUACCUUCGGCAGAGACUCAUAAUGCAAAAAUUGUUGUAGAUGAAAACAAGGAGAUUGAAAAGGUGGAUGACCAUUUAGCAAACACUACAGAGGAGAGUGACGAUGAUUUCCAGUUAGCACCAAGGACUAGACGCAAACCUAGAAAUUUGAAAAUAAUGGAUGAAUCCUCUUGUGAUAAUAUCUUAGAUAGUCCAGUGAAAACACCCCAGAGUUCAGAUGCAAAGCCUGCACUUGGAGGUACAAAUGCAGCCUCUAUAAAUGCCAGUAUGAAAACUCUGCCUGGAGAAAUGGAUGCUUUAGGACAUAGUUGUUGUGUGGAGAGUCUACUAGGAAUGACUAGUGUAUAUGCGGGGAAACCUCAGUCUACUUUUAAUGCCAUACAGAAUCCAGACAUGUUUAGCGCAUCAGAGGCUUUGAAUCAGAUGUCAAACGUAAGAGGGAAUUUAAUGUACAAUAAUCUCUACAGUCUUCUACCUCUGCCAACCCAACUGGUGUCUAGAGACAAAUACAGAAUACUAGACCCUUCCCAGGUCCUACAGAGAUCUAGGAUUAGAGAUAAUAGUGAUAUAUUUGAAAGUGAUAGCGAAAAUGAACAAGAGUUUGAUACUUUAAAAAACAAGGGGGUUUGUGAUACAGAAAAAUGCAGUGACGUGAAAGAGGGUAAUAUUGCAGUGAAAAUUGAUAUUAAAUCAACCCCAGGUGACAUACACAAGAAAAGGCUUGUAUCGAACUCAUUAGAUUCAAUAUCUAAAUUAUUGGAUACAUUAUCAUAUAUGGAUAGUUUCACUACGCCACCAGACACAAAUAAAAUACAUGGGAGUAAAUUAUGGAAUUCUGACUCUGUUAUCCUACAAGGGGGACUCUUAGAUGAGCUUCCUGCAAUUGGGCACAGCAAUGAUUUAGCUAGGGAUAUCAAUUCAACAAUAGAGGUGAUGAGUCUAAAGAAAUGCUCAGCCACAAUGAUAGGAGUGUUAAAACAAUGUGAGGGCAAAGAUGAUGUUCUAGAGAGACUAACAUUGCCAGUGGUGACAGAAAACAGAUUGUCAUUUUCUAGUGGUUUAAUCAAAGAUAGUUGGGGAUCUGUCAAUAUGAAGAUGCAUUCCAACAUAACUGAAUGUCUUCCUCUGGGGACUGAUCAUUCUGUGAUCUCCACAGACUACACACCAAUACUGAGGCUUAUUUGCAAGACAGAGCAAUGCAGACAAGCUGCUAAAUGUAAAAGAAGGUUCUUUCACUAUUUAGAGCAGAUCCAAAUAUAUUUGAGACAGUCCACCAUUGACAAUCUCUGUGCUACUUGAUAAAGAAAUUGAAAUAAUGAUUAUUAUACUCACAUCUUGGGAGUAUUUGUGCAAAUUUCAAGUGUAGUUAUAGUACAGUACAUCGAAAUACAUUGCAGUACAGUACAGUACAGUACAGUACAGUACAGUACAGUACAGUACAGUACA
rnacentral:misc_RNA from 1 species